ACUCGGCUAAGGAGUCCCAAAUAGGAUGAAACGCGUGUCCUGGAU
rnacentral:hammerhead_ribozyme from 1 species